rnacentral:rRNA from 1 species
UACGAAGGGGGCUAGCGUUGCUCGGAAUCACUGGGCGUAAAGCGCACGUAGGCGGAUCUUUAAGUCAGGGGUGAAAUCCCGGGGCUCAACCCCGGAACUGCCUUCGAUACUGGGUAUCUUGAGUUCGGAAGAGGUGAGUGGAAUUGCGAGUGUAGAGGUGAAAUUCGUAGAUAUUCGCAGGAACACCAGUGGCGAAGGCGGCUCACUGGUCCGAUACUGACGCUGAGGUGCGAAAGCGUGGGGAGCAAACAGG